rnacentral:lncRNA from 1 species
UGUUCUCACCUCCCCCACUAUUUUUCAGGUAUCGCGGGCGGUGAGGGUUGAGACGAGACGUGAGAUACGUACGUAGCGGUCGAUAGAGCUUUCGACCCAGGUUAUUCGGUUUAGUUUCUACCCCUACUAUUCUGUUGAUAUAGCUUAGAUAGUUUAUAUGGUUCAGUUUUUGGGUAUUUCAGUUAACUAUCAUAUUUUGAUUUGGUUUUAUGAAUGUAAUAAAAAGGAUUUGUGGUUUUCGUUAAUAAAAGGUUUUCUACCCCUCGUGGUAGCGUUUUUAAAGAAUAAAGGUUUCCGUGUAGGAAACAGUUUUCAAAAAGAUUUUCUGUGGAUUUAUGUUUAAAUAUUGAAUGUAUAACUGUGAUGUGAAUGGUGAAUGAAUGAAUGUAUAGUCGUUUCUAUAUUCAUUUGGUUGUGGUUGUACCUGGGUUACUCUUUGUACUUGUGCGACGCCGUGCAAAU